AUUGGGUAGGGGAGCGUUCUGUAAGCGGUUGAAGGUGUGUGGUAACGCAUGCUGGACGUAUCAGAAGUGCGAAUGCUGACAUGAGUAACGAUAAAGGGGGUGAAAAACCUCCUCGCCGGAAGACCAAGGGUUCCUGUCCAACGUUAAUCGGGGCAGGGUAAGUCGACCCCUAAGGCGAGGCCGAAAGGCGUAGUCGAUGGGAAACGGGUUAAUAUUCCCGUACUUCUUACAAUUGCGAUGGGGGGACGGAGAAGGCUAGGUGGGCCUGGCGACGGUUGUCCAGGUUCAAGUGCGUAGGCUUAAGAGUUAGGUAAAUCCGGCUCUUUUUAAGGCUGAGACACGACGUCGAGCACCUACGGGUGUGAAGUCAUUGAUGCCAUGCUUCCAGGAAAAGCCUCUAAGCUUCAGAUUGUAAGGAAUCGUACCCCAAACCGACACAGGUGGUCGGGUAGAGAAUACCAAGGCGCUUGAGAGAACUCGGGUGAAGGAACUAGGCAAAAUGGUACCGUAACUUCGGGAGAAGGUACGCUCUUGAUGGUGAAGUCCCUUGCGGAUGGAGCUGACGAGAGUCGCAGAUACCAGGUGGCUGCAACUGUUUAUUAAAAACACAGCACUGUGCAAAAUCGUAAGAUGACGUAUACGGUGUGACGCCUGCCCGGUGCCGGAAGGUUAAUUGAUGGGGUUAGACUUCGGUCGAAGCUCUUGAUCGAAGCCCCGGUAAACGGCGGCCGUAACUAUAACGGUCCUAAGGUAGCGAAAUUCCUUGUCGGGUAAGUUCCGACCUGCACGAAUGGCGUAAUGAUGGCCACGCUGUCUCCACCCGAGACUCAGUGAAAUUGAAAUCGCUGUGAAGAUGCAGUGUACCCGCGGCUAGACGGAAAGACCCCGUGAACCUUUACUACAGCUUGGCACUGAACAUUGACCCUACAUGUGUAGGAUAGGUGGGAGGCUUUGAAGCACGUACGCCAGUAUGUGUGGAGCCGUCCUUGAAAUACCACCCUUGUAGUGUUGAUGUUCUAACGUCGACCCCUUAUCGGGGUUGCGGACAGUGCCUGGUGGGUAGUUUGACUGGGGCGGUCUCCUCCCAAAGAGUAACGGAGGAGCACGAAGGUGGGCUAAUCACGGUUGGACAUCGUGAGGUUAGUGCAAUGGCAUAAGCCCGCUUGACUGCGAGAAUGACAAUUCGAGCAGGUGCGAAAGCAGGUCAUAGUGAUCCGGUGGUUCUGAAUGGAAGGGCCAUCGCUCAACGGAUAAAAGGUACUCCGGGGAUAACAGGCUGAUACCGCCCAAGAGUUCAUAUCGACGGCGGUGUUUGGCACCUCGAUGUCGGCUCAUCACAUCCUGGGGCUGAAGUCGGUCCCAAGGGUAUGGCUGUUCGCCAUUUAAAGUGGUACGCGAGCUGGGUUUAGAACGUCGUGAGACAGUUCGGUCCCUAUCUGCCGUGGGCGUUGGAAGAUUGAAGGGGGCUGCUCCUAGUACGAGAGGACCGGAGUGGACGAACCUCUGGUGUUCGGGUUGUGUCGCCAGACGCAUUGCCCGGUAGCUAAGUUCGGAAUCGAUAACCGCUGAAAGCAUCUAAGCGGGAAGCGAGCCCUGAGAUGAGUCUUCCCUGAUACUUUAAGUAUCCUAAAGGGUUGUCGGAGACUACGACGUUGAUAGGUCAGGUGUGUAAGUGCUGUGAGGCAUUGAGCUAACUGAUACUAAUUGCCCGUGAGGCUUAACCAUACAACACCCAAGGGGUUU
rnacentral:rRNA from 1 species